UGGUUCUGGCAUCGAUGAAGAACGCAGCGAAAUGCGAUAAGUAGUGUGAAUUGCAGAAUUCAGUGAAUCAUCGAAUCUUUGAACGCACAUUGCGCCCCUUGGUAUUCCUUGGGGCAUGCCUGUACGAGAGUCGUUCAGAAACUCAAGCCUAGCUUGGUUGUGGGCGCUUGUCACUGCUCUGGCGCAGCGACUCGCCUCAAAACUAUUGGCAGCCUGCCUUUGAUGGCCGUACGCACAGCACAGUCGUGCCGAACGCUGCGGGCAGGCGCUCCAAAAGCCUUUCUUUGGGAAGACCUCGUAUCAGGUAGGAAUACCCGCUGA
rnacentral:misc_RNA from 1 species